rnacentral:rRNA from 1 species
GACGAACGCUGGCGGCGUGCUUAACACAUGCAAGUCGAACGGAAAGGCCCUGCUUUUGCGGGGUGCUCGAGUGGCGAACGGGUGAGUAACACGUGAGUAACCUGCCCUUGACUUUGGGAUAACUUCAGGAAACUGGGGCUAAUACCGGAUAGGAGCUCCUGCUGCAUGGGGGGGGUUGGAAAGUUUCGGCUGUUUGGGAUGGUCUCGAGGCUUAUGCGCUUGUUGGGGGGGUAGGGGCUUACCCGGGGUUUGACGGGUAGCCGGCCUGGGAGGGUGACCGGCCACAUUGGGACUGAGAUACGGCCCAGUCUCCUACGGGAGGCAGCAGUGGGGAAUCUUGCACAAUGGGCCGACGCCUGAUGCAGCAACGCCGCGUGCGGGAUGCCGGCCUUCGGGUUGUAAACCGCUUUCGCCUGUGACGAAGCGUGCGUGACGGUAAUGGGUAAAGAAGCACCGGCUAACUACGUG